rnacentral:rRNA from 1 species
GGAGGAAUAUUGGUCAAUGGGGCGGAAGCCUGAACCAGCCAAGUAGCGUGCAGGACGACGGCCCUAUGGGGUUGUAAACUGCUUUUUCGCGGGGAUAAAGAGGGGGAUGCGUCCCCCGUUGCAGGUACCGCGUGAAUAAGGACCGGCUAAUUCCGUGCCAGCAGCCGCGGUAAUACGGAAGGUCCGGGCGUUAUCCGGAUUUAUUGGGUUUAAAGGGAGCGCAGGCCGUAUGGUAAGCGUGUUGUGAAAUGCCGUGGCUCAACCAUGGCACUGCAGCGCGAACUGCCGUACUUGAGUACGCUGGAGGUAGGCGGAAUUCGUGGUGUAGCGGUGAAAUGCUUAGAUAUCACGAAGAAC